AGAAUAAAAAAAAUGAAAUUAACAAAAGAGUAGAGCGGAGAGCAAAAAAAAAAAGUGUGACAAAGGGGUAAGAAGUAGAAAUGCGAAGCAGCAGCUGUGGAAAAAGGAGAGAGAGAGAGAGAGAGAGGGAGAGAGAGAAGCUGGACGUCAACAUAAAUUUGCUUCUUUAUGCAUGCCCAUGUCGCGGUGGUGGACAAAUCCAACCAAAGAAGGUUUCUCUCUGUCUGUCUUCAAGGUCUUGGUUGGCUUCUUUAUGAUAGCGGCGAUGAUGACGAAGAAAGAGCCAAAUUGAAUAAAUUGGUCGCAUUUGUGUCAGGGAUGAGAAGAAGAGCAAAAUUGAAGAAACUAGAGGCGUUCGUGUGAAAAGGGAGAGAUCGGUUCGUGUGCUGACGUUCUAGGGU